rnacentral:tRNA from 1 species
UUUUAUAUAGUAUAAGUUAUUACUUUUAAUUUCCAAUUAAAAAAUUUAUUAAUAUAAUGUAAAAA